rnacentral:rRNA from 1 species
GACGAACGCUGGCGGCGUGCCUAAUACAUGCAAGUCGAGCGAACAGAUGAGGAGCUUGCUCCUUUGACGUUAGCGGCGCACGGGUGAGUAACACGUGGAUAACCUACCUAACAGUCUGGUAUAAUUUCGGGACAGCGGAUAUAAUCCCGGAUAAUAUCUUGAACCGCAUUGUUGAUUGGUGAAAGACGGCUUUGCUGUCUCUUAUAGAUGGAUCCGCGCCGCAUUAGCUGGUUGGUAGGGUCACGGCCUACCAAGGCAACGAGGCGUAGCCGAACUCAUAGGGGGAUAGGCGACACUGGAGCUUGACCGCGGACCAGACGACUAAGAGAGGCAGCAGAAGCGAAUCUGCCGCAACGGGCGGAAGCCUGGCGGAGCAACGCCACGCGAGUGAUGAAGGUCCUGGGAUCGUAAAGCUCGGUUAUUGGGGAAGAACCGAUGUGGAAUUAACUAUACCCGUCUUGACGGUAACGAAUCAGAAAGCCACGGCUAACUACGUG